GACGAACGCUGGCGGCGUGCUUAACACAUGCAAGUCGAGCGGAGCGGCGAACGGGUGAGUAACGGGUGAGUAACUGCCCCCCUCUCUGGGAUAACAGUUGGAAACGGCUGCUAAUACCGGAUAGUGGGGGCUGACUCGCGUCCUAUCAGUUUGUUGGUGGGGUGGUGGCCGACCAAGGGGACGACGGGUAGCCGGCCUGAGAGGGCGACCGGCCACAUUGGGCUGAGAUACGGCCCAAUCUGCAACGGGAGGCAGUAGGGGGGAGUAUGGCACAACGGGGGAACCCCUGAUGCAGCAGCGCCGCGUGCGGGAUGACGGCCUUCGGGUGGUAAACCGGUUUCAGCCAAGACGCGGUAGUGUCAGAAGAAGCACCGGCUAACUACGUGCCAGCAGCCGCGGUAAUUC
rnacentral:rRNA from 1 species